ACCUACUGUGGUGUAGUUGGUAGCGCUUUGGCACACUAAUUAUGUGUCCUAGGUUCAAGUCCCAGUUGAGGUA